rnacentral:rRNA from 1 species
GACGAACGCUGGCGGCGUGCUUAACACAUGCAAGUCGAACGGAAAGGCCCUGCUUUUGUGGGGUGCUCGAUUGCCGAACGGGUGAGUAACACGUGAGUAACCUGCCCUUGUCUUUGGGGUAACUUCAGGAAACUGGGGCUAAUAUCGGAUAGGAGCUCCUGCUGCAUGGUGGGGGUUGGAAAGUUUCGGCGGUAGGGGCUGGACUCGCGGCUUAUGAGCUUGUUGGUGGGGUAGUGGCUGACCAAGGCUUCGACGGGUAGCCGGCCUGAGAGGGUGACCGGCCACAUUGGGACUGAGAUACGGCCCAGACUCCUACGGGAGGCAGCAGUGGAGAGUAUUGCACAAUGGGCGGAAGCCUGAUGCAGCGACGCCGCGUGCGGGAUGACGGCCUUCGGGUUGUAAACCGCUUUCGCCUGUGACGAAGCGUGAGUGACGGUAAUGGGUAAAGAAGCACCGGCUAACUACGUG